GUUAAGUGGGAAACGAUGUGGGAAGGCCCAGACAGCCAGGAUGUUGGCUUAGAAGCAGCCAUCAUUUAAAGAAAGCGUAAUAGCUCACUGGUCGAGUCGGCCUGCGCGGAAGAUGUAACGGGGCUAAACUAUGCACCGAAGCUGCGGCAGCGACACUAUGUGUUGUUGGGUAGGGGAGCGUUCUGUAAGCCUGUGAAGGUGUGUCGUGAGGCAUGCUGGAGGUAUCAGAAGUGCGAAUGCUGACAUAAGUAACGAUAAAGCGGGUGAAAAGCCCGCUCGCCGGAAGACCAAGGGUUCCUGUCCAACGUUAAUCGGGGCAGGGUGAGUCGACCCCUAAGGCGAGGCCGAAAGGCGUAGUCGAUGGGAAACGGGUUAAUAUUCCCGUACUUGGUGUUACUGCGAAGGGGGGACGGAGAAGGCUAUGUUGGCCGGGCGACGGUUGUCCCGGUUUAAGCGUGUAGGUGUGUGUUCCAGGUAAAUCCGGUUCACUUUAACACUGAGGCGUGAUGACGAGGCACUACGGUGCUGAAGCAACAAAUGCCCUGCUUCCAGGAAAAGCCUCUAAGCAUCAGGUAACAUCAAAUCGUACCCCAAACCGACACAGGUGGUCAGGUAGAGAAUACCAAGGCGCUUGAGAGAACUCGGGUGAAGGAACUAGGCAAAAUGGUGCCGUAACUUCGGGAGAAGGCACGCUGACACGUAGGUGAAGUGAUUUACUCAUGGAGCUGAAGUCAGUCGAAGAUACCAGCUGGCUGCAACUGUUUAUUAAAAACACAGCACUGUGCAAACACGAAAGUGGACGUAUACGGUGUGACGCCUGCCCGGUGCCGGAAGGUUAAUUGAUGGGGUCAGCGCAAGCGAAGCUCCUGAUCGAAGCCCCGGUAAACGGCGGCCGUAACUAUAACGGUCCUAAGGUAGCGAAAUUCCUUGUCGGGUAAGUUCCGACCUGCACGAAUGGCGUAAUGAUGGCCAGGCUGUCUCCACCCGAGACUCAGUGAAAUUGAACUCGCUGUGAAGAUGCAGUGUACCCGCGGCAAGACGGAAAGACCCCGUGAACCUUUACUAUAGCUUGACACUGAACAUUGAGCCUUGAUGUGUAGGAUAGGUGGGAGGCUUUGAAGUGUGGACGCCAGUCUGCAUGGAGCCGACCUUGAAAUACCACCCUUUAAUGUUUGAUGUUCUAACGUGGACCCGUGAUCCGGGUUGCGGACAGUGUCUGGUGGGUAGUUUGACUGGGGCGGUCUCCUCCUAAAGAGUAACGGAGGAGCACGAAGGUUGGCUAAUCCUGGUCGGACAUCAGGAGGUUAGUGCAAUGGCAUAAGCCAGCUUGACUGCGAGCGUGACGGCGCGAGCAGGUGCGAAAGCAGGUCAUAGUGAUCCGGUGGUUCUGAAUGGAAGGGCCAUCGCUCAACGGAUAAAAGGUACUCCGGGGAUAACAGGCUGAUACCGCCCAAGAGUUCAUAUCGACGGCGGUGUUUGGCACCUCGAUGUCGGCUCAUCACAUCCUGGGGCUGAAGUAGGUCCCAAGGGUAUGGCUGUUCGCCAUUUAAAGUGGUACGCGAGCUGGGUUUAGAACGUCGUGAGACAGUUCGGUCCCUAUCUGCCGUGGGCGCUGGAGAACUGAGGGGGGCUGCUCCUAGUACGAGAGGACCGGAGUGGACGCAUCACUGGUGUUCGGGUUGUCAUGCCAAUGGCACUGCCCGGUAGCUAAAUGCGGAAGAGAUAAGUGCUGAAAGCAUCUAAGCACGAAACUUGCCCCGAGAUGAGUUCUCCCUGAGACUUAGAGUCUCCUGAAGGAACGUUGAAGACGACGACGUUGAUAGGCCGGGUGUGUAAGCGCAGCGAUGCGUUGAGCUAACCGGUACUAAUGAACCGUGAGGCUUAACCUU
rnacentral:rRNA from 1 species